rnacentral:rRNA from 1 species
GUUCUUAUUCAUUCUAGUUAUAACCGCUAGUGGGCUAGCUUGCUAGAUUGAUGGCGACGUGGCGAACGGGUGAGUAAUACAUCGGAACGUGCCCUGUAGUGGGGGAUAACUAGUCGAAAGAUUAGCUAAUACCGCAUACGACCUGAGGGUGAAAGUGGGGGACCGCAAGGCCUCAUGCUAUAGGAGCGGCCGAUGUCUGAUUAGCUAGUUGGUGAGGUAAAGGCUCACCAAGGCGACGAUCAGUAGCUGGUCUGAGAGGACGAUCAGCCACACUGGGACUGAGACACGGCCCAGACUCCUACGGGAGGCAGCAGUGGGGAAUUUUGGACAAUGGGCGAAAGCCUGAUCCAGCAAUGCCGCGUGUGUGAAGAAGGCCUUCGGGUUGUAAAGCACUUUUGUCCGGAAAGAAAUGGCUCUGGUUAAUACCUGGGGUCGAUGACGGUACCGGAAGAAUAAGGACCGGCUAACUACGUGCCAGCAGCCGCGGUAAUACGUAGGGUCCAAGCGUUAAUCGGAAUUACUGGGCGUAAAGCGUGCGCAGGCGGUUGUGCAAGACCGAUGUGAAAUCCCCGAGCUUAACUUGGGAAUUGCAUUGGUGACUGCACGGCUAGAGUGUGUCAGAGGGGGGUAGAAUUCCACGUGUAGCAGUGAAAUGCGUAGAGAUGUGGAGGAAUACCGAUGGCGAAGGCAGCCCCCUGGGAUAACACUGACGCUCAUGCACGAAAGCGUGGGGAGCAAACAGGAUUAGAUACCCUGGUAGUCCACGCCCUAAACGAUGUCAACUAGUUGUUGGGGAUUUCAUUUCCUUAGUAACGUAGCUAACGCGUGAAGUUGACCGCCUGGGGAGUACGGUCGCAAGAUUAAAACUCAAAGGAAUUGACGGGGACCCGCACAAGCGGUGGAUGAUGUUGAUUAAUUCGAUGCAACGCGAAAAACCUUACCUUACCCUUGACAUGCCACUAA